AGAACAUCUUCAUAGUGUGUGGACACCAUAUUCUGAAGUCAUUCUAAGUGAGUACACAGCAUGGACAUGAAGGUUCUUCCUGAGCUUCUCGGGCUGCUGCUGCUCUGCUUUUCAGGUGUGAGAUGUGACAUCCAGAUGACCCAGUCUCCGUCCACUCUGCCUGCAUCUCUUGGAGACAGAGUUACCAUGACGUGCCGAGCCAGUCAGGAUAUUAAUAGCUGGUUAAACUGGUACCAGCAGGAACCAGGGAAUCCUCCUAAACUAUUGAUCUAUGAAGCAUCCAAACUGCAAACAGGGGUCCCAUCAAGAUUCAGUGGCAGUAGAUCUGGGACAGAUUUUAGUCUUACCAUCAGCAGCCUACAGCCUGAAGACGUUGCUACUUACUACUGUCUACAGCGCCAGAACUUCCCUCGCACAGUGAUACAGGACAUAACAAAAACCUCCCAAGGGUGCAGGGAGUAGAGCUGAGCUGCACCA